rnacentral:sRNA from 1 species
CCUCGAAGGCUUGUUGUGGGCAUAUGAAGUGAAUAUGCGUGUCAAUGCCACCAGCGGUGACAAUGGAUUGUUCGCCAGCAAUUACGUCGGUGUUGGCACCAACGACCAGCUCCGGAUCCACGCCAUCCAUGAUGUCCGGGUUGCCAGCCUUCCCGAUGCCGACGAUGAUGCCAUCUCUGAUGCCAAUGUCCGCUUUGAAAAUGCCGCUCCAGUCGACUAUCACUGCAUUGGUAAUGACCGUGUCCAGUGACUCUUUAUCUGGCCGUCCGCUUGCUUGGCCCAUGCCCUCGCGG